rnacentral:rRNA from 1 species
GAUGAACGCUGGCGGCGUGCCUAAUACAUGCAAGUCGAGCGAACGGACGAGAAGCUUGCUUCUAUGAUGUUAGCGGCGGACGGGUGAGUAACACGUGGAUAACCUACCUAUAAGACUGGGAUAACUUCGGGAAACCGGAGCUAAUACCGGAUAAUAUUUUGAACCGCAUGGUUCAAAAGUGAAAGACGGUCUUGCUGUCACUUAUAGAUGGAUCCGUGCUGCAUUAGCUAGUUGGUAAGGUAACGGCUUACCAAGGCAACGAUGCAUAGCCGACCUGAGAGGGUGAUCGGCCACACUGGAACUGAGACACGGUCCAGACUCCUACGGGAGGCAGCAGUAGGGAAUCUUCCGCAAAGGGCGAAAGCCUGACGGAGCAACGCCGCGUGAGUGAUGAAGGUCUUCGGAUCGUAAAACUCUGUUAUUAGGGAAGAACAUAUGUGUAAGUAACUGUGCACAUCUUGACGGUACCUAAUCAGAAAGCCACGGCUAACUACGUG